rnacentral:rRNA from 1 species
GGCGCACGGGUGCGUAACGCGUAUGCAACUUGCCUCACAGAGGGGGAUAACCCGUCGAAAGACGGACUAAUACCGCGUACACUCCAGCUUGGGCAUCCAGGCUUGAGGAAAUGAAAUUCGCUGUGAGAUAGGCAUGCGUCCCAUUAGCUAGUUGGUGAGGUAACGGCUCACCAAGGCGACGAUGGGUAGGGGAACUGAGAGGUUGAACCCCCACACUGGUACUGAGACACGGACCAGACUCCUACGGGAGGCAGCAGUGAGGAAUAUUGGUCAAUGGGCGAGAGCCUGAACCAGCCAAGUCGCGUGAAGGAUGACUGUCUUAUGGAUUGCAAACUUCUUUUGUAGGGGAAUAAAGAAUGGUACGUGUACCAUAGUGAAUGUACCCUACGAAUAAGCAUCGGCUAACUCCGUGCCAGCAGCCGCGGUAAUACGGAGGAUGCGAGCGUUAUCCGGAUUUAUUGGGUUUAAAGGGUGCGUAGGCGGCCUGUUAAGUCAGCGGUGAAAUCUAGGGGCUUAACUCCUAAAUUGCCAUUGAUACUGGUGGGCUUGAGUGUAGAUGAGGUAGGCGGAAUGCGUGGUGUAGCGGUGGAAUGCAUAGAUAUCACGCAGAACUCCAAUUGCGAAGGCAGCUUACUAAGGUACAACUGACGCUGAAGCACGAAAGCGUGGGUAUCAAACAGGAUUAGAUANCCUGGUAGUCCACGCAGUAAACGAUGAUAACUGGGCGUAUGCGAUAUACAGUAUGCUCCUAAGCGAAAGCGUUAAGUUAUCCACCUGGGAGUACG